ACAAAAAGCAAGUAUCCCAUCUCAAGCUAAUUCGCUACUCAUUUGAAAUCCUCACUCGGCUGAAAAUUAAUUUUGAGAAGAGUUCACUUAUUGGUGUAGGAAUUUUAGAAAAUGAAUCAAGAUUCUUUAUGAAGCUCAUAGGUUGCUGCAUAUCCAAUGUUCCAACCACUUACUGUUGAAGCAACGCGCACCGGAUAGGAUCGAUCUGGGCUUGUGAUCUAAUAUCUAAUUUCUUUGAGACAAUUCACCAAACACAUUGCAGGCAUAAAUAAAUAAAGACAAAGAGACAAGAUUUACGUGGUUCGGCACAACAGGCCUACAUCCACGGGG
rnacentral:lncRNA from 1 species